rnacentral:rRNA from 1 species
AGAGUUUGAUCCUGGCUCAGAUUGAACGCUGGCGGCAUGCCUUACACAUGCAAGUCGAACGGCAGCACGGAGCUUGCUCUGGUGGCGAGUGGCGAACGGGUGAGUAAUAUAUCGGAACGUACCCUAGAGUGGGGGAUAACGUAGCGAAAGUUACGCUAAUACCGCAUACGAUCUAAGGAUGAAAGUGGGGGAUCGCAAGACCUCAUGCUCGUGGAGCGGCCGAUAUCUGAUUAGCUAGUUGGUAGGGUAAAAGCCUACCAAGGCAUCGAUCAGUAGCUGGUCUGAGAGGACGACCAGCCACACUGGAACUGAGACACGGUCCAGACUCCUACGGGAGGCAGCAGUGGGGAAUUUUGGACAAUGGGCGAAAGCCUGAUCCAGCAAUGCCGCGUGAGUGAAGAAGGCCUUCGGGUUGUAAAGCUCUUUUGUCAGGGAAGAAACGGUGAGAGCUAAUAUCUUUUGCUAAUGACGGUACCUGAAGAAUAAGCACCGGCUAACUACGUGCCAGCAGCCGCGGUAAUACGUAGGGUGCAAGCGUUAAUCGGAAUUACUGGGCGUAAAGCGUGCGCAGGCGGUUUUGUAAGUCUGAUGUGAAAUCCCCGGGCUCAACCUGGGAAUUGCAUUGGAGACUGCAAGGCUAGAAUCUGGCAGAGGGGGGUAGAAUUCCACGUGUAGCAGUGAAAUGCGUAGAUAUGUGGAGGAACACCGAUGGCGAAGGCAGCCCCCUGGGUCAAGAUUGACGCUCAUGCAUAUAUGUGGAGGAACACCGAUGGCGAAGGCAGCCCCCUGGGUCAAGAUUGACGCUCAUGCACGAAAGCGUGGGGAGCAAACAGGAUUAGAUACCCUGGUAGUCCACGCCCUAAACGAUGUCUACUAGUUGUCGGGUCUUAAUUGACUUGGUAACGCAGCUAACGCGUGAAGUAGACCGCCUGGGGAGUACGGUCGCAAGAUUAAAACUCAAAGGAAUUGACGGGGACCCGCACAAGCGGUGGAUGAUGUGGAUUAAUUCGAUGCAACGCGAAAAACCUUACCUACCCUUGACAUGGCUGGAAUCCUCGAGAGAUUGAGGAGUGCUCGAAAGAGAUGCGUAGAUAUGUGGAGGAACACCGAUGGCGAAGGCAGCCCCCUGGGUCAAGAUUGACGCUCAUGCACGAAAGCGUGGGGAGCAAACAGGAUUAGAUACCCUGGUAGUCCACGCCCUAAACGAUGUCUACUAGUUGUCGGGUCUUAAUUGACUUGGUAACGCAGCUAACGCGUGAAGUAGACCGCCUGGGGAGUACGGUCGCAAGAUUAAAACUCAAAGGAAUUGACGGGGACCCGCACAAGCGGUGGAUGAUGUGGAUUAAUUCGAUGCAACGCGAAAAACCUUACCUACCCUUGACAUGGCUGGAAUCCUUGAGAGAUCAGGGAGUGCUCGAAAGAGAGCCAGUACACAGGUGCUGCAUGGCUGUCGUCAGCUCGUGUCGUGAGAUGUUGGGUUAAGUCCCGCAACGAGCGCAACCCCCUUGUCAUUAGUUGCUACGAAAGGGCACUCUAAUGAGACUGCCGGUGACAAACCGGAGGAAGGUGGGGAUGACGUCAAGUCCUCAUGGCCCUUAUGGGUAGGGCUUCACACGUCAUACAAUGGUACAUACAGAGCGCCGCCAACCCGCGAGGGGGAGCUAAUCGCAGAAAGUGUAUCGUAGUCCGGAUUGUAGUCUGCAACUCGACUGCAUGAAGUUGGAAUCGCUAGUAAUCGCGGAUCAGCAUGUCGCGGUGAAUACGUUCCCGGGUCUUGUACACACCGCCCGUCACACCAUGGGAGCGGGUUUUACCAGAAGUAGGUAGCUUAACCGCAAGGAGGGCGCUUACCACGGUAGGAUUCGUGACUGGGGUGAAGUCGUAACAAGGUAGCCGUAUCGGAAGGUGCGGCUG